ensembl:lncRNA
UCCGCCUGGCAGCAAGCAGCGGGAAUUGCGAGGAGGAUGCUCACUUGCCAGGGCUCGUGCGCCCCGUCCCGGAUCCUUGCCGAGGCCGUGGGAGGCAAGGACGCUCUGGCAGAGGCCGAGGGAGACGCCACCCGGGGGGCAGGGCGGGCGGUGAUAAAAGGGCUGCCCCUGCUCCGACGGCACCAAGAGGUUGAGCUGGCAGGAUGGCGCUGAGCGGAGUCAACCAGAGCCACGUGCAGCCCGUUUGGGCCGAGAUCCCGUCCCGUUCCGCAGACAUCGGCGCCCGGGCUGUGCCCAGCACCGGCCCCUCAGAGGAGGAACUGAAGAUUAUCCUCUUCGAGUUAGGCUGCCACCUCGUCAUGGAUGACGGCGAGGGCGACCCCAGCAACCUGAGCGCGCUGCCCGCCCAGAACCUGUUCGCGGACCCCGUGAACUCCAGGGUGAGUCUGUCUCCCUCCCCGUCGAGCGGGGGCCCCAGACGUGGGUCCCUCCUUCGCCCCUUCGCGCCUCUCUGUCCUCUCUAACGCUCCCCCCCUUCGCCGCUCCCACAGCUGCCGAGCCUAGACAUCCAGCUGGAAAUGGGCAUCUUCUGCUCGGCUGCGUAUUUCGGCGACGGGGGGUUCUCCAUAUAACGCUAGGCGAGAGAAGCAGCCGGCGUCCUCCGCAGAAGUGCCGCCUGGACGUGGCAGCCUCGACCACGUCCCUCCCCACCCCCACCCCCAAUAAACCUGCUUUUAGCUGUCACUGGUCUCCCGGAGUCUAUUUAGGCUGAACGGGGUGGGGGGUGCGGGGAAAUAAUGGAGUUGGGAAAGACACUCAAAGUCAUCUAGUCUAACCCCCGGAAUCAAAUCGUCCCUGGCAGACGGCCACUUAAAACCUUCCAAGGAAGGAGAGUCCACCACCUCCCGGGAAUGCCCCUUCCACGGGAGAAUCGCUCUAUAGCAGGGGAGCUUGCAGCCCUGGAGGGGCCCAAGAUGGCAGGAAACACCGUUUUCCUUCUUGAGAAGGGCUUCCUUUGAGCCGGCAAUGCCCAGGACCCAGGCUGGAGGCUCAUCAGGAGAGGAGAAAAGGAUUCUCAUUGGCCUCUUUUAAAAUGAAUAAAUAAAUAAAUAAAUUUUAUUUUUUCAUUAAUAACAUCUCAAAUCUUGCCACGUCAUAUCCAAAAAAAAAAAAAAACAAUCCAAUUAAACAUUUCAUAUUGAUUAAUUUAAUGGGGCUUCCCAUUUUCUGGCUGGUCCGGAGAUAGUCUUAUUUUUUUUUUUUUUGCUGCAUUUUCUCUAUUAUUUCCAAAUGUCUUCAAACCACACACCACCAACUUCACCACACCGGCUCUACACAGUCGUAUCUUGGAAGUCGAUUGGACUCCAUUCCAGAAUCCGUUCGACUUCCAAAACGUUUGGAAACCGGAACAUUCACUUCCAGAUUUGCAAUGUUCGGGAACCAAAACGUUUGAGGACUAAGCUGUUUGAAAACCAAGGUACGACUGUACAUUCAAAACACUAUUAUAACACUUGAACAGUCAUGGCCUCUGCCCAAUAAUUCUUUAGUAAGUCACCCAGAGUAGCUGGAACAACCCAUUCAGUUGGAAGAGGUACAAAAAGUAAUUAUUAUGGAAAUAGGAGGUGGCAAUGGCAGCCAUCUUGCUACCUCAUAGAACCACUGCAAUGGAGACAAAAUGGUGGACAAAAGAGGCUAACUAACUGAAUAAGAG